AAAACCGUCAAUACUGGGCAAGAGGCAGGCUUGCGCCAGCAACGGACGCGCGCGUGCAAAUUCCGCGUGCGUGUGCAAAGUCAGCAUGCACGUGCAAAGUCUGCAUGCACGUGCAAAGUCUGCAUGCUCGUGCAAAGUCCGCGUGCUUGCACCAGAUGCAGAAGAAAUAGGCAAGGGAACUGCGUGCCUGGUGCGUGCGUGGGUCCUGGGGGACUGUUGAGUGCUGACACUGGGAUGUGAUUCAGAUCCCGCUGGUCCACCUCCUGACCCAGUGAGGUUUCCGGAUCAUCUCGGAAGGGUUGUAGAUGCUGGGUUUGAGGGGUGGCAGCUAUGGCAAGGCCAGGGAUCUCUCCCCUCAGACUGGUGCAACGACCCUGCCCCUCCCCAGAGGCAGCCAGGAUGGCAGCACAGAUGGGCUGAACUCCGAUGGACGUGGGGGCAGUCAGAGGGCUGAGCAGGCUCUUGCUGCAGGUUGAAGGUAGCUCUUGGGGCGUGGAGCACGUGCGGACUAGGGUGAGGCAAGGACACCUUGUCCUCCCUUGAAGGUGUGAGCUAGUGUUUGUAUCUAGCGUUGCUAUGGUGAGGGUGGGCGGGGCUUAGUUUGACAGCCAGGAGCUCUUGCAAUGGCAAGAAUCCCUCAGCCCAUGGCCCCGCCCCUGAGCUGUCAGAGUUCUGUCUUCUGUCCUGCCUGGGCCUGGCCAGUCAGAAGGGGAACUGCUGGGGGGCAAGUUUCUUGGCUGAGCAGCAUUUGCAGGUGGUGGCAGCUUUGGGAUCAUGGCCUGUGUGUCUUCCUGCACUUCCUCUGGGAACAGUGGACGGAACAGCUGCUGAGAAUGCAUUUAAGGCAUCCCCCAGAGUCUGGCUGAGGGGUUCAGCAGGGCAGGCUGGGAGGCAAUGCUACCCUCUGUGCACAGUCCUUUCUCUUUUUGUGGAAACCAGAAAAACCCAGGUGUGUGCUCACAAAAUCGAGUUUUAUUCAUAUUUGGGUUGCUUUCUUUGAAUUUUGGUUAUCAAGAUUCUCCAAUUUUUAAAUUUAUUUUUUUAGUUGUCAACAGGCCUUUUUUUCAUUUCUGUGCAGUGCUGAGAAUUGAACCCAGUGCCUCCCACAUGCUAGGCAAGCACUCUGCAACUGAGCCACAACCCCAGCUCUCCACUUUUUUGACUGUCUUCAUUGCUUAGCUGUUCUGGGGACAAUACUAAGCCUCCUACUGUUCCUGCAGUGUAAGAUAUGUUACCUUUCACCAGUCCAAUCUCAGCAUUCACUCUUUGGAGGUUCCAGUUGUCAUGGGUCUUGGCUUUUCCUGGAUGGAAGGGCACCCUGCCAGAGUUAGCUGUGAGGUUUCAAGCUCAAGCUUCCCAUAACCCACUAAGCAGCCCUGCAUGCUCCUCCAUGCUCAGCUAUUAAGAACUGUCCCUCCUCCUCACUGGUGGAGUUCUGGGCUUGCUUCUGAACUGGGCAAAAUAUCAGUGAGUGGGGACCUGGAGGAGUGAGGUUGGAGGGAGCCUCACCUGGGAUUGUUGUCCCAACUGGGUGCUCCUUGGGCCCCUUCCAUUGCCCAUGGCCUUUUCUGGGUCCACUGGACCUGCAGUAAUCAGUGAAGGCCGCUGGGUGAGGUUGUGGCAGUGCUCAUCUCUCCUGGUGGGAUAAUUCCUGGCAUUGCAUCCUUCUGAACCCAGUUCAAGGUGCUGCCCAGUAGGCUGCAUUGGGAAUCAGGGUCCUGGAAGUAAUGAAUCACCAGAUGGGCCAGUGCAGCACAGACUUGCAGUGGGUGACAAAGUUGGAGUUGGGUUGCCAAGAACAUGGUCCUGGGGCUCAGUGUAUAGGUCCUUCCUCAUGCCACACAGCUGAAUUGGCACUUAUCUUGAACUUUCCUCUGGAGUGGCCAGAACCAGAAGCUCCUUCACUUCCCAAGUGUCAUGAAAUCAUAGUGCUUUUGAGAAAAUGGCUGGAAGAUGGGUUUAUGUCCCCCACCAUAGGCCUCCCCACAGGCUUACAGGCUGGGAAAUUCUCAGUUUCUUCUUUCAGUCACCAUUUCCUGCUGCAUAGGGAAGAAAAAUGCACACCCUCCUAGAUCAUGCCUGCCUCUGGAGUCAGGGUACUAACUGCAUUGAUGGACAGGGUGACCAAUUGUGGGCCACACCUGAGGGGUCCUGGAGUCUGAGGUUGGCCGAACUCUUUAUUUUCUACUAACAAAGAGGUCUAUAAAAACAUGAAUGACAGGUGAUGUCACUGAACAACAAAGAUGGGAGAGGACAGCUUGAAGAGCCUGGAGAGGAGCCAGGCAAUCAGAGAAAAAAUAACACUAAGAGUGGAGGAGGCCAACCUCUGUCUAGAGGGCUCUGGGAAGAGCCAGCCUGAUUUCCUUCUGGGACCUGCUCAGGAUGGAUUGUGG